ACAACUGAUGAUACUCGCAUUCGAAUUGAAAUCGUCUUGGGUCGUUUGGAGCCGAGUAACAAUGUAUCCCGGGAGAUCACAAAAAUCUUUAAGGAAAAAUUGGAUCCUCAAGGACAUGAUUGGAAGUCAGUUACACCAGAGAUUAAGGACUUCUACUGGGAGGAGUUUAAGAAACGAUUCCAUUGGAAUACUGCAAUUGAAAGUUCCAUAAAGGAU